UUCCCGUCUGGACAGGAGUACCUGGCACCC
rnacentral:piRNA from 1 species